UACGGGGGGGGCAAGCGUUGUUCGGAAUUACUGGGCGUAACGGGCGCGUAGGCGGCCUGUUAAGUCGAACGUGAAAUCCCCGGGCUCAACCCGGGAACUGCGUCCGAUACUGGCAGGCUCGAAUCCGGGAGAGGGAUGCGGAAUUCCAGGUGUAGCGGUGAAAUGCGUAGAUAUCUGGAGGAACACCGGUGGCGAAGGCGGCAUCCUGGACCGGCAUUGACGCUGAGGCGCGAAAGCCAGGGGAGCAAACGGG
rnacentral:rRNA from 1 species